rnacentral:tRNA from 2 species
GGUGCAUUGCCGUAAUGGUAGCGGAGCGUCUUGCUAAGUCGUCCUGCAGAAAUGCAGUACAGGUUCGAAUCCUGUAUGCACCG